rnacentral:rRNA from 1 species
CCUACGGGAGGCAGCAGUGGGGAAUAUUGGGCAAUGGGCGCAAGCCUGACCCAGCAACGCCGCGUGAAGGAAGAAGGCUUUCGGGUUGUAAACUUCUUUUGUCAGGGACGAAGCAAGUGACGGUACCGGACGAAUAAGCAACGGCUAACUACGGGCCAGCAGCCGCGGUAAUACGUAGGUGGCAAGCGUUAUCCGGAUUUACUGGGUGUAAAGGGCGGGGAGGCGGGACGGCAAGUCAGAUGUGACAACCACGGGCUCAACCUGUGGCCUGCAUUUGAUACUGUAGUUCUUGAGUACUGGAGCGGCUGCCGGAAUUCCUCGUGUAGCGGUGAACUGCGUAGCUAUUUGGAG